rnacentral:lncRNA from 1 species
GACAAGUCUAGCUUCGGUUCCCGCCGGCCUCCUGCCCCAGGACAGCUUGGAAACGGUCCGAUCAGGUGGGGCUUCCUCUUGAAAUUUGGGCCCCACCCUGGGAAGCAGCCGCCCUUAGACUGACGUCAGAUCUGGUGAGAGUGACAAGCCUUUCCUGUGCCCUUUGGAUACCGGGGCCUGGACAUUUUAGGCGCUCAGUAAACAGCUAAGUAAAUCAUGACUGCUUUAUUUGCUGGACUGGUGCCUCUCAGCAGAUUCAGGGGUCGUGCAGGGCUGGUUACCACAAACUCAGUAGGAGUGCAAGGGCUGUACCCCCGGAGCUAGACAGCCUGGGUUUGAAUCUCAACUUCUCCCUUUUCUUGCUGUGCAACCUUGGGCAACGUGCUUACUCUCAAUGUGAGUGACUCAGUUUCCUCAUAGCCUCAUUGUGAGGAAUGAAUAAGUCCACAUAAAACGCUUAGCACGGGGAUUGGCAAAGAGUAGGCACUCAGUGAAUGUCAGCCUUUGUGAUUGCUGCAGUUCAAAGACUGGCUCAGUGUCUCUGGAGGAAUUGUCUAUGACCUUGCCAAGUAGAUGCAUAUGGACAUGGAAUGAAUGGUGUCUGCUGUGGUUCUAACUCCUUAUGCCACUAUUCCAGUCUGUAAGUAUGCAUGUGUGUGCAGGGAAUAUGCCUGUGACAGUGGCUGAGUGUACUCUUUACUGUGACCAUGACUUGUAUGACUGUGCAUGUAUUUGAGGAAGCCCUGGCCAGACCCAGAGUGCAUUAGGUUCUCAAUAUGUGCAACUCAGUGUGUGGCCAAUCACCACAUGCUCUUCCGCUCACACCACGGUGCCUGCCAGCCAGGGUAGCAUCGACAUUUGAACUCCACAGCCAUCUGUGCCUGAUCUUCAAGUGAGAGGGCACCCCGCAGGCUCAGGGGCCCACCACCAGGCGUGAGCUGGAUGGAGAAACUGGCAGGGUUAAGGAGGAGGAGGGCUUUGGGGUGGCUGGUGCGGCGGACACAGCGGCCAUGGCCGGAGCACAGGGCUUGACUGCAGAGAAGGGCCCCACUGGUCACGUUCAGGAUGAAGGGCCCCAGUGUAGUGUCCAUAUACUCCUUGAUGGCCUGACAUGAUUCCUAGGUGGGAAGGGAGGAUAGCGUCAGGGACACCAUGGCCAUGUAUGGACCCACCCAGGGCACUGAGGCACUCACCUGCUGGUCAGCCAGGACUUUGCAGGUAGAAAGGGUAAGUCAGGGUCU